CGGGUACAAUUGAGACAGUGGUGCAUGGUUGUCGUCAGCUCGUGUCGUGAGAUGUUGGGUUAAGUCCCGCAACGAGCGCAACCCUUGUGUUUAGUUGCAAACAGGUCAAGCUGUGCACUCUAGACAGACUGCCGUGGACAACACGGAGGAAGGUGGGGAUGACGUCAAAUCAUCAUGCCCCUUAUGAUCUGGGCUACACACGUGCUACAAUGGCCGGUACAACGGGCAGCGAAGGAGCGAUCCGGAGCGAAUCCUAAAAAGCCGGUCCCAGUUCGGAUUGCAGGCUGAAACUCGCCUACAUGAAGUUGGAGUUGCUAGUAAUCGCGGAUCAGAAUGUCGCGGUGAAUGCGUUCCCGGGUCUU
rnacentral:rRNA from 1 species